CCUACGGGAGGCAGCAGUGGGGAAUAUUGCACAAUGGGGGAAACCCUGAUGCAGCGACGCCGCGUGAGGGAAGAAGGAUCUCGGGAUGUAAAGCUCUAUCAGCAGGGAAGAAAAUGACGGUACCUGAGCAAGAAGCCCCGGCUAACUACGUGCCAGCAGCCGCGGUAAUAUGUAGGGGGCAAGCGUUAUCCGGAUUUACUGGGUGUAAAGGGAGCGUAUGCGGCAGCACAAGUCUGGAGUGAAAUGCCGGGGCUUAACCCCGGAACUGCUUUGGAAACUGUGCAGCUAGAGUGCAGGAGAGGUAAGUGGAAUUCCUAGUGUAGCGGUGAAAUGCGUAGAUAUUAGGAGGAACACCAGUGGCGAAGGCAGCUUACUGGACUGUAACUGACGUUGAGGCUCGAAAGCGUGGGGAGCAAACAGGAUUAGAUACCCCUGUAGUC
rnacentral:rRNA from 1 species